AAGAUCGUACUUCACAGGAUCGUUUCUGUAGUAGAUCUUCUCAAAGCUCUGCCCUAACGUAGAGUUGAUGCAACCACGAUGAGGAGGGAUAGCAUCUUUCCCUGAGCGUGAGGAAGACUCGAGAAGUUGACUUUGUUUCAACUUCUCAGUCAUCGAUGAUCGUUCACCCUUUGUACUCAGUGCAAGGGGGAUGGGAAGGAUGCUUUCUGAGUGGU
rfam:Apis mellifera strain DH4 linkage group 4, whole genome shotgun sequence.